CUAAGUGGUUUGCAGGCUAAACCCGUGACUCCUGUCACAACGCCUGCACUUGCACGUCCUGUGCA
rfam:Oceanobacillus oncorhynchi strain Oc5 genome assembly, contig: CONTIG000001